AUGGGAACGCGAAGAACCUUACCUAGACUUGACAUCUUCUGCAUUAAUCGUAAUGGAUGAAAUCCCUUCGGGGACAGAAUGACAGGUGGUGCAUGGUUGUCGUCAGCUCGUGUCGUGAGAUGUUGGGUUAAGUCCCGCAACGAGCGCAACCCCUAUUAUUAGUUGCUAACAUUAAGUUGAGCACUCUAGUGAGACUGCCCGGGUUAACCGGGAGGAAGGUGGGGAGUGACGUCAAAUCAUCAUGCCCCUUAUGUCUAGGGCUACACACGUGCUACAAUGGUGGGAACAAAGAGAUGCAAUACCGCAAGGUGGAGCUAAACUCAAAACCCCAUCCCAGUUCGGAUUGUAGGCUGAAACUCGCCUACAUGAAGCUGGAGUUGCUAGUAAUCGCGAAUCAGAAUGUCGCGGUGAAUACGUUCCCGGGUCUUGUACACACCG
rnacentral:rRNA from 1 species